rnacentral:rRNA from 1 species
GGUUAAGCGACUAAGCGUACACGGUGGAUGCCCUGGCAGUCAGAGGCGAUGAAGGACGUGCUAAUCUGCGAUAAGCGUCGGUAAGGUGAUAUGAACCGUUAUAACCGGCGAUUUCCGAAUGGGGAAACCCAGUGUGAUUCGUCACACUAUCAUUAACUGAAUCCAUAGGUUAAUGAGGCGAACCGGGGGAACUGAAACAUCUAAGUACCCCGAGGAAAAGAAAUCAACCGAGAUUCCCCCAGUAGCGGCGAGCGAACGGGGAGCAGCCCAGAGCCUGAAUCAGUGUGUGUGUUAGUGGAAGCGUCUGGAAAGGCGCGCGAUACAGGGUGACAGCCCCGUACACAAAAAUGCACAUGCUGUGAGCUCGAUGAGUAGGGCGGGACACGUGGUAUCCUGUCUGAAUAUGGGGGGACCAUCCUCCAAGGCUAAAUACUCCUGACUGACCGAUAGUGAACCAGUACCGUGAGGGAAAGGCGAAAAGAACCCCGGCGAGGGGAGUGAAAAAGAACCUGAAACCGUGUACGUACAAGCAGUGGGAGCCUCUUUUAUGGGGUGACUGCGUACCUUUUGUAUAAUGGGUCAGCGACUUAUAUUCUGUAGCAAGGUUAACCGAAUAGGGGAGCCGAAGGGAAACCGAGUCUUAACUGGGCGUUAAGUUGCAGGGUAUAGACCCGAAACCCGGUGAUCUAGCCAUGGGCAGGUUGAAGGUUGGGUAACACUAACUGGAGGACCGAACCGACUAAUGUUGAAAAAUUAGCGGAUGACUUGUGGCUGGGGGUGAAAGGCCAAUCAAACCGGGAGAUAGCUGGUUCUCCCCGAAAGCUAUUUAGGUAGCGCCUCGUGAAUUCAUCUCCGGGGGUAGAGCACUGUUUCGGCAAGGGGGUCAUCCCGACUUACCAACCCGAUGCAAACUGCGAAUACCGGAGAAUGUUAUCACGGGAGACACACGGCGGGUGCUAACGUCCGUCGUGAAGAGGGAAACAACCCAGACCGCCAGCUAAGGUCCCAAAGUCAUGGUUAAGUGGGAAACGAUGUGGGAAGGCCCAGACAGCCAGGAUGUUGGCUUAGAAGCAGCCAUCAUUUAAAGAAAGCGUAAUAGCUCACUGGUCGAGUCGGCCUGCGCGGAAGAUGUAACGGGGCUAAACCAUGCACCGAAGCUGCGGCAGCGACGCUUAUGCGUUGUUGGGUAGGGGAGCGUUCUGUAAGCCUGUGAAGGUGUGCUGUGAGGCAUGCUGGAGGUAUCAGAAGUGCGAAUGCUGACAUAAGUAACGAUAAAGCGGGUGAAAAGCCCGCUCGCCGGAAGACCAAGGGUUCCUGUCCAACGUUAAUCGGGGCAGGGUGAGUCGACCCCUAAGGCGAGGCCGAAAGGCGUAGUCGAUGGGAAACAGGUUAAUAUUCCUGUACUUGGUGUUACUGCGAAGGGGGGACGGAGAAGGCUAUGUUGGCCGGGCGACGGUUGUCCCGGUUUAAGCGUGUAGGCUGGUUUUCCAGGCAAAUCCGGAAAAUCAAGGUUGAGGCGUGAUGACGAGGCACUACGGUGCUGAAGCAACAAAUGCCCUGCUUCCAGGAAAAGCCUCUAAGCAUCAGGUAACAUCAAAUCGUACCCCAAACCGACACAGGUGGUCAGGUAGAGAAUACCAAGGCGCUUGAGAGAACUCGGGUGAAGGAACUAGGCAAAAUGGUGCCGUAACUUCGGGAGAAGGCACGCUGAUAUGUAGGUGAAGCGACUUGCUCGUGGAGCUGAAAUCAGUCGAAGAUACCAGCUGGCUGCAACUGUUUAUUAAAAACACAGCACUGUGCAAACACGAAAGUGGACGUAUACGGUGUGACGCCUGCCCGGUGCCGGAAGGUUAAUUGAUGGGGUCAGCGCAAGCGAAGCUCUUGAUCGAAGCCCCGGUAAACGGCGGCCGUAACUAUAACGGUCCUAAGGUAGCGAAAUUCCUUGUCGGGUAAGUUCCGACCUGCACGAAUGGCGUAAUGAUGGCCAGGCUGUCUCCACCCGAGACUCAGUGAAAUUGAACUCGCUGUGAAGAUGCAGUGUACCCGCGGCAAGACGGAAAGACCCCGUGAACCUUUACUAUAGCUUGACACUGAACAUUGAGCCUUGAUGUGUAGGAUAGGUGGGAGGCUUAGAAGUGUGGACGCCAGUCUGCAUGGAGCCGACCUUGAAAUACCACCCUUUAAUGUUUGAUGUUCUAACGUUGACCCGUAAUCCGGGUUGCGGACAGUGUCUGGUGGGUAGUUUGACUGGGGCGGUCUCCUCCUAAAGAGUAACGGAGGAGCACGAAGGUUGGCUAAUCCUGGUCGGACAUCAGGAGGUUAGUGCAAUGGCAUAAGCCAGCUUGACUGCGAGCGUGACGGCGCGAGCAGGUGCGAAAGCAGGUCAUAGUGAUCCGGUGGUUCUGAAUGGAAGGGCCAUCGCUCAACGGAUAAAAGGUACUCCGGGGAUAACAGGCUGAUACCGCCCAAGAGUUCAUAUCGACGGCGGUGUUUGGCACCUCGAUGUCGGCUCAUCACAUCCUGGGGCUGAAGUAGGUCCCAAGGGUAUGGCUGUUCGCCAUUUAAAGUGGUACGCGAGCUGGGUUUAGAACGUCGUGAGACAGUUCGGUCCCUAUCUGCCGUGGGCGCUGGAGAACUGAGGGGGGCUGCUCCUAGUACGAGAGGACCGGAGUGGACGCAUCACUGGUGUUCGGGUUGUCAUGCCAAUGGCACUGCCCGGUAGCUAAAUGCGGAAGAGAUAAGUGCUGAAAGCAUCUAAGCACGAAACUUGCCCCGAGAUGAGUUCUCCCUGACCCUUUAAGGGUCCUGAAGGAACGUUGAAGACGACGACGUUGAUAGGCCGGGUGUGUAAGCGCAGCGAUGCGUUGAGCUAACCGGUACUAAUGAACCGUGAGGCUUAACCUU